rnacentral:rRNA from 1 species
AAAGCGUGCGCAGGCGGUUUUGUAAGACUGUCGUGAAAUCCCCGGGCUCAACCUGGGAAUGGCGAUGGUGACUGCAAGGCUAGAGUUUGGCAGAGGGGGGUAGAAUUCCACGUGUAGCAGUGAAAUGCGUAGAUAUGUGGAGGAACACCGAUGGCGAAGGCAGCCCCCUGGGUCAAAACUGACGCUCAUGCACGAAAGCGUGGGGAGCAAACAGGAUUAGAUACUCCUGU